rnacentral:rRNA from 1 species
UACAGAGGGUGCGAGCGUUGUCCGGAAUCACUGGGCGUAAAGGGCGCGUAGGUGGCGCUGCAAGUCGGUGGUGAAAGCUCGCCGCUUAACGGCGAGUCGGCCAUCGAAACUGCAGGGCUCGAGCACUGUAGGGGCUAAUGGAAUUCCGGGUGUAGCGGUGGAAUGCGUAGAGAUGUGGAGGAACACCGAUGGCGAAGGCAGCCCCCUGGGGUAACACUGACGCUCAUGCACGAAAGCGUGGGGAGCAAACAGG